AUCGCUUCUUGGCCUUUUGGCCAAGAUCAAGUGUAGAGAUCUGUUCUUUUCAGUUUAACAUCUGAUACAUCCUCUGAGGACCACAUAUUAAAUGGAUUUUUGGAGCAGGAGAUGGAAUAGGGGCUUGCUCCGCCCACGCCGCUCACUGACCCAGCCUUGCCGAACCUUCAGGAAAGGCACACCCCCU